CACAGAAACCUUCAGAGGUAAUGAAUCUUCACUCACAGUCUUGUGGGUAUCUUUUAAACUUUUCAAUAGGUAAUUAAAAUAACAUUCCCCCACUGCCAUGGAUCAAAGGACAGUUCAAGAGAGGUCACUGACAGGUCUAAACUGGGCCAGAGAGAUGAUUUUUGGACUUAAUAAGGAUAGCAGCAAAAGGGACCCUGGCUACACAUCACAUGUACACAAGGUGCUGGAGAUCCAACCCAGGUCAUGCAUACUAGACACUCUACCACGAAGGUACAUCUUCAGCCCCAGCAAGGGUGUUUGAGCGCUAUUCCUUCCAAUGACAGGAAGCCUUUGACUGCCUAAAAUGUGUGCUGAUGAAGGCUGAUGACCUCUUGGAAGAUGUGGAAGACAUGCGCGGGAUGUGAAAGGCUCUCACACAGUGGACCAUAGGCACUUAAAA